rnacentral:rRNA from 1 species
GUUCCUUGGAAAAGGACAGCUGAGAGGGUGACACUCCCGUCCGCCUGGUAAAGUGAGUCAUUUGUCAACGAGUCGAGUUGUUUGGGAUUGCAGCUCUAAUUUGGUGGUAAAUUCCAUCUAAAGCUAAAUAUUGGUGGGAGACCGAUAGCGUACAAGUACCGUGAGGGAAAGAUGCAAAGAACUUUGAAAAGAGAGUUAAAGAGUACCUGAAACUGCUGAAACGGAAGCGAAGGAAACCAGUGUUUGUUUGUUCAUAUUUCCCUGGCCACUUGUGGUCUGGGCGCUGUGGACUUGCGUGAGUUUGGGUUGGUUGAUCCCUUUGGAAGAGCGCAGUCAGAGUUGAUGUCU